GUUUAUAGAGAGACGAGACGACGAGGCUCCAGUUCAUUCAGCGCAAAGACAGCAAUAAAUAUACACUUUAAGACUAAGCUUUACAAAUCAAACCAGUUCAAGUUUCAGCAACCUCAUUCCUGCAAUUUGUUGACACAUAAAAGUUGACCUCUGACCUUGAUGUCAAGGUCAUCGGUUUUUAAACUUGUUUGAGAUUAUAAGUAGAUGCACCUAUAACAUCAACUUGAAAAAGCUACAUAGCCUCAUUCUCGAGUUGUCACAUUCACAGAGUGUCCACGCUGCCCACUGGUGAUGAAUAUCAGUCUUUUAUGGCUGAUGAUAAAAACAGUGGCAGCUACAGUAGUAGGAAAUGUACAGGAGAAGCUAAUGGCAAUAGAUGCAGGAUGCACU
ensembl:lncRNA